GGAAGGGUAUGCAAGAGGCUAAAGCUGUCAGACUGUAAAUCUGAUCCCAUGGGUUCGUUGGUUCAAAUCCAACCCCUUCCACCA
rnacentral:tRNA from 1 species